rnacentral:rRNA from 1 species
GAUGAACGCUGGCGGCGUGCCUAAUACAUGCAAGUCGAGCGAACAGACGAGGAGCUUGCUCCUCUGACGUUAGCGGCGGACGGGUGAGUAACACGUGGAUAACCUACCUAUAAGACUGGGAUAACUUCGGGAAACCGGAGCUAAUACCGGAUAACAUGUUGAACCGCAUGGUUCAACAGUGAAAGACGGUCUUGCUGUCGCUUAUAGAUGGAUCCGCGCCGCAUUAGCUAGUUGGUAAGGUAACGGCUUACCAAGGCAACGAUGCGUAGCCGACCUGAGAGGGUGAUCGGCCACACUGGAACUGAGACACGGUCCAGACUCCUACGGGAGGCAGCAGUAGGGAAUCUUCCGCAAUGGGCGAAAGCCUGACGGAGCAACGCCGCGUGAGUGAAGAAGGUCUUCGGAUCGUAAAACUCUGUUAUUAGGGAAGAAAAAAUGUGUAAGUAACUAUGCACGUCUUGACGGUACCUAAUCAGAAAGCCACGGCUAACUACGUG